UAAGGCUUUGUUUGCUUAUGAUGACAAC
rnacentral:sRNA from 1 species